UACGUAGGGGGCAAGCGUUGUCCGGAAUCAUUGGGCGUAAAGCGCGUGUAGGCGGCUCGGUAAGUCUGCUGUGAAAGUCCAGGGCUCAACCCUGGGAUGCCGGUGGAUACUGUCGAGCUCGAGUCCGGAAGAGGCGAGUGGAAUUCCUGGUGUAGCGGUGAAAUGCGCAGAUAUCUGGAGGAACACCUGCGGCGAAGGCGGGUUGCUGGGCUGACACUGACGCUGAGGCGCGAAAGCUAGGGGAGCGAACGGG
rnacentral:rRNA from 1 species